CACGUAGGCGGCAGGGUAAGUCAAAGGUGAAAGCCCUCGGCUCAACCGAGGAAUUGCCUUUGAAACUGCUCUGCUUGAGUUCGGGAGAGGGAAGCGGAAUUCCUAGUGUAGCGGUGAAAUGCGUAGAUACUAGGAGGAACACCGGUGGCGAAGGCGGCUUCCUGGACCGAUACUGACGCUGAGGUGCGAAAGCGUGGGGAGCAAACA
rnacentral:rRNA from 1 species